rnacentral:rRNA from 1 species
GAUGAACGCUGGCGGCAUGCCUAAGACAUGCAAGUCGAACGAGAUGGCCCAGUGAAGGUUGAGUGCUUGCACAAGACUGAAUCUGGAUUCCCAUCUAGUGGCAGACGGGUGAGUAACACGUGGGUGACCUACCUUUUCGUUGGGGAUAACAGUUGGAAACGAUUGCUAAUACCGAAUAAAAUGUAAGAGUCAAUUUUACAUUGAAAGGAGCCUUUAAAGCUUUGCGAUUAGAUGGGCCUGCGGCGUAUUAACUAGUUGGUGAGGUAAUGGCUUACCAAGGUGACGAUGCGUAGCCGAACUGAGAGGUUGAUCGGCCACAUUGGGACUGAGACACGGCCCAAAAUCCUACGGGAGACAGCAGUUAGGAAUAUUCGUCAAUGGAGGAAACUCUGAACGAGCAAUGCCGCGUGACGUGAUGAAGGUCUUAUAGAUUGUAAAACUCUGUUGUAUGGAAAAAACG